rnacentral:lncRNA from 1 species
CUUAAUGAUUACUUGCGUGGUGUGGUGUAUAUAUAAAAACUAAAAAGUGGUAUAUUUGUAGUCGUUUUAUACACUGGUUCAAGUUUUAAUAUUUGUAAAAACACAAUAAAAUAUUAUCUCACUACACUUCACGUUGGGCAAGUGUACCCAUCGUCUGAUUAGCUAGUUGGUGAGGUAAUAGCUUACCAAGGCGAUGAUUAGUAGCUGGUCCGAGAGGAUGAUCAGCCACACUGGGACUGAGACACGGCCCAGACUCCUACGGGAGGCAGCAUUGGCGUAAUAUAGUAAUAGUAAGAUACUAAGGUCAUCCAAG